rnacentral:rRNA from 1 species
GAUGAACGCUGGCGGCGUGCUUAACACAUGCAAGUCGAACGAAGCAUUCUAACGGAACAUUUUCGGAUGGGAAGUUAAAAUGACUGAGUGGCGGACGGGUGAGUAACGCGUGGAUAACCUACCAUAUACAGGGGGACAACAGUUGGAAACGACUGCUAAUACCGCAUAAGCGCACAGUGCCGCAUGGCACGGUGAGAAAAACUCCGGUGGUAUAUGAUGGAUCCGCGUCUGAUUAGCUAGUUGAUGAGGUAAUGGCACACCAAGGGAACGAUAAGUAGCCGAACUGAGAGGGUGACCGGCCGCAUUGGGACUGAGACACGGCCCAAACUCCUACGGGAGGCAGCAGUGGGGAAUAUUGCACAAUGGGCGAAAGCCUGAUGCAGCGACGCCGCGUGAGCGAAGAAGUAUUUCGGUAUGUAAAGCUCUAUCAGCAGGGAAGAAAAUGACGGUACCUGACUAAGAAGCCCCGGCUAACUACGUGCCAGCCGCCGCAGUAA